rnacentral:rRNA from 1 species
UAGGGAAUAUUGGUCAAUGGAUGGAAGUCUGAACCAGCCAUGCCGCGUGCAGGAAGAAGGCCUUCUGGGUUGUAAACUGCUUUUGCCAGGGGAUAAAAUUUCCUUGCGAGGAAAAUUGAAGGUACCUGGUGAAUAAGCCACGGCUAACUACGUGCCAGCAGCCGCGGUAAUACGUAGGUGGCAAGCGUUGUCCGGAUUCAUUGGGUUUAAAGGGUGCGUAGGCGGCUUUGUAAGUCAGUGGUGAAAUAUCGCAGCUUAACUGUGAGGGUGCCAUUGAUACUGCAGAGCUUGAGUACAGAUGAGGUAGGCGGAAUUGACGGUGUAGCGGUGAAAUGCUUAGAUAUCGUCAAGAACACCUAUAGCGAAGGCAGCUUACUAGGCUGUAACUGACGCUGAGGCACGAAAGUGUGGGGAUCAAACAGGAUUAGAUACCCUGGUAGUCCACACUGUAAACGUUGAUUACUCGCUGUGUGCGAUAU